AAAUAGAUUUUUGGAAAAUGACAAUGUCGAUCUCAAAAAUAAAAUGAAGGAGAUGAAUGAAGCCUCAUUAAUUGUUCAAAGUUCAAAUUGUUCUUCUUGUAGUUCUUUAAAAAUGGAGAACGUAGAACUUAGAAAUACACUAGAAAAAUAUAGUGUAAAUGAUUCUAGAACAAGUGAGGUAAUUAAAAAGGACGAUAGAAAUAAGGUUAAAUCGCCUAGAAACGACUCUAGGAUUUUUGUUAAUAAGUCUAAAACUAA
rnacentral:lncRNA from 1 species